rnacentral:rRNA from 1 species
UACGUAGGGCGCGAGCGUUGUCCGGAAUUAUUGGGCGUAAAGAGCUCGUAGGCGGCCUGUUGCGUCCGCUGUGAAAUCCCAGGGCUCAACCCUGGGCGUGCAGUGGAUACGGGCAGGCUGGAGGCAGGCAGGGGAGAACGGAAUUCCCGGUGUAGCGGUGAAAUGCGCAGAUAUCAGGAGGAACACCGGUGGUGUAGACGGCUAUCUGGACCGUAACUGACGCUGAGGAGCGAAAGCAUGGGUAGCGAACAGG